rnacentral:snRNA from 1 species
AUCGCUUCUCGGCCUUUUGGCUAAGAUCAAGUGUAAGGUUGAUAUUUUUUUAAAAAAAAUUACGUUUUAUGAUCUAAGUUCAGAUUACUUAUGGAAAGAUCAGAAUCUAAAGUUAGAGGUAGUUUCUGGAUAUAAGAAACAACCUCC